GGGCUCAGAUAUGGGGUUUUGGGGUUCAGAUAUGGGGUUUUGGGGGAUCAGAUCAGGGUUUUGGGGUUCAGACAGGGGGUCUUGGGGUUCAGAUAUGGGGUAUUGGGCUUCAGAUAUGGGGUUUGGGGUUCAGAUAUGGGGUUUCUGGGAUCAGAUAUGGGGUUUUGGGGCUCAGAUACGGGGCUGUAGGUUCAGAUAUGGGGUUUGGGGGCUCAGAUCUGGGUUUUGGGGUUCAGAUAUGGGAUAUGGGGUUCAGAUAUGGGGUUUUGGGGCUCAGAUACGCGGCUCUAGGUUCAGAUAUGGGGUUUUGGGGUUCAGAUAUGGGGUUUCUGGGAUCAGAUCUGGGUUUUGGGGUUCAGAUAUGGGGUUUCUGGGAUCGGAUAUCGGUUUUGGGGUUCAGAUAUGGGGUUUGGGGGCUCAGAUAUGGGGUUUCUGGGAUCAGAUCUGGGUUUUGGGGUUCAGAUAUGGGGUUUCUGGGAUCAGAUCUGUGUUUUGGGGUUCAGAUAUGGGGUCUCUGGGAUCGGAUAUCGGUUUUGGGGUUCAGAUAUGGGGUCUCUGGGAUCGGAUAUCGGUUUUGGGGUUCAGAUAUGGGGUCUUGGGGUUCAGAUAUCGGUUUUGGGGUUCAGAUAUGGGGUCUUGGGGUUCAGGUAUGGGUUUUGGGGU
ensembl:lncRNA